rnacentral:rRNA from 1 species
CUACGGGGCGCUGCAGCAGCGAAUCUUUUACAAUGCACGAAAGUGUGAUAAAGCGAACCAAAGUGUUCUUCGUAUAGAAGAACUUUUGCUCACUGUAAAAAUGUGGGCGAAUAAGGACUGGGUAAGACAGGUGCCAGCCGCCGCGGUAAUACCUGCGGUCCAAGUUGCAUCCAUUUUUAUUGGGUCUAAACAUCCGUAGCUUGCUACUUAAGUCUCUUGUGAAAUCUCGUGUCUCAAGCACGAGGCUUGCAGGAGAUACUGAGUGGCUAGAGAUCGGUAGACGUAAGGAGUACGCCAAGGGUAACGGUUAAAUGUGUUAAUCCUCGGUGGACUAACAAUCAGCGAAGGCACCUUACGAGGACGAAUCUGACAGUGAGGGAUGAAGGCCAGGGGCGCGAAACGGAUUAGAUACCCCCGUAGUC